rnacentral:rRNA from 1 species
UUACGGAAGGCAGCAGUAGGGGAUAUUGGUAAUCUGCGAAAGCGGGAACCAGCAACGCCGCGUGUGCGAUGAAGGCCUUCGGGUUGUAAAGCACCUUUCACCGGGACGAGGAAGGACGGUACCGGUGGAAUAAGCCUCGGCUAACUACGUGCCAGCAGCCGCGGUAAAACGUAGGAGGCGAGCGUUAUCCGGAUUUACUGGGUGUAAAGCGCAUGCAGGCGGGUCUGCAAGUUCGGUGUGAAAGCUCCCGGCUCAACUGGGAGAGGUCGCUGAAGACUGCAGGUCUGGAGCGUGGUAGGGGAAGGCGGAAUUCCGGGUGUAGUGGUGAAAUGCGUAGAUAUCCGGAGGAACACCAGUGGCGAAGGCGGCCUUCUGGACCACGACUGACGCUCAGAUGCGAAAGCUAGGGUAGCAAACGGGAUUAGAUACCCCGGUAGC